rnacentral:rRNA from 1 species
GGCGGACGGGUGAGUAAUACAUGAGCAACCUGCCCUGGAGUGGGGGACAACAGUUGGAAACGACUGCUAAUACCGCAUAAUGUAUCCGGAAGGCAUCUUCUGGAUACCAAAGAUUUAUUGCUCUGGGAUGGGCUCAUGUCUGAUUUAGCUAGUUGGUGGGGUAACGGCUCACCAAGGCUGCGAUCAGUAGCCGGACUGAGAGGUUGAACGGCCACAUUGGGACUGAGAUACGGCCCAGACUCCUACGGGAGGCAGCAGUGGGGAAUAUUGGGCAAUGGGCGAAAAACGCCUGACCCAGCAACGCCGCGUGAAGGAAGAAGGCCUUCGGGUUGUAAACUUCUUUUAUGAGGGACGAACACAUGACGGUACCUCAUGAAUAAGCCACGGCUAACUACGUGCCAGCCGCCGC